rnacentral:rRNA from 1 species
AUUGAACGCUGGCGGCAGGCCUAACACAUGCAAGUCGAGCGGCAGCGGGGGAAAGCUUGCCUUCCCGCCGGCGAGCGGCGGACGGGUGAGUAAUGUCUGGGAAACUGCCUGAUGGAGGGGGAUAACUACUGGAAACGGUAGCUAAUACCGCAUAACGUCUUCGGACCAAAGUGGGGGACCUUCGGGCCCCAUGCCAUCAGAUGUGACCAGAUGGGAUUAGCUAGUAGGUGGGGUAACGGCUCACCUAGGCGACGAUCCCUAGCUGGUCCGAGAGGAUGACCAGCCACACUGGAACUGAGACACGGUCCAGACUCCUACGGGAGGCAGCAGUGGGGAAUAUUGCACAAUGGGCGCAAGCCUGAUGCAGCCAUGCCGCGUGUAUGAAGAAGGCCUUCGGGUUGUAAAGUACUUUCAGCGGGGAGGAAGGUGUUGUGGUUAAUAACCGCAGCAAUUGACGUUACCCGCAGAAGAAGCACCGGCUAACUCCGUGCCAGCCGCCGCAGUAAGAC